AACUGCGAGUGAAGCGGGAAAAGCUCAAAUUUAAAAUCUGGCGGUUCUUGCCGUCCGAGUUGUAAUUUAGAGAAGCGUCUUCCGCGUCGGACCGUGCACAAGUCUCCUGGAACGGAGCGUCAUAGAGGGUGAGAAUCCCGUCUUUGGCACGGAUGCCCGGUGCUUCUGUGAUGCGCUCUCGAAGAGUCGAGUUGUUUGGGAAUGCAGCUCAAAAUGGGUGGUGAACUCCAUCUAAAGCUAAAUAUUGGCGAGAGACCGAUAGCGAACAAGUACCGUGAGGGAAAGAUGAAAAGCACUUUGGAAAGAGAGUGAAACAGUACGUGAAAUUGUUGAAAGGGAAACGCUUGAAGUCAGUCGCGUCGACCGAGACUCAGCCUUGCCUCGGCUUGGUGUACUUCUCGGCUGACGGGUCAGCAUCAAUUUUGCCCCUCGGAUAAUGGCAAGGGAAAGGUGGCACCUUUACGGGUGUGUUAUAGUCUCCUGUCGCAUGCGAGGGGUGGGAUUGAGGAACUCAGCACGCGCCUCGGUGUCGGGGCUUUU
rnacentral:rRNA from 1 species